UACGGAGGGUGCAAGCGUUAUCCGGAUUCACUGGGUUUAAAGGGUGCGUAGGUGGGCAGGUAAGUCAGUGGUGAAAUCUCCGGGCUUAACCCGGAAACUGCCAUUGAUACUAUUCGUCUUGAAUACUGUGGAGGUCAGCGGAAUAUGUCAUGUAGCGGUGAAAUGCUUAGAUAUGACAUAGAACACCAAUUGCGAAGGCAGCUGGCUACACAAAUAUUGACACUGAGGCACGAAAGCAUGGGGAUCAAACAGG
rnacentral:rRNA from 1 species